GGUGAACGCUGGCGGCGUGCCUAAUACAUGCAAGUCGAGCGAACGGACGAUAAUCUUGCUUCGCUCAUGUUAGCGGCGGACGGGUGAGUAACACGUGUAUAACCUACCUAUAAUACUGGUAUAACUUCGGGACACCGGAUCUAAUACCAUAUGAUAUUUUGCACCGCGUUGUUCAAAGGUAAAUUACGGUCUUUCUGUCACGUAUAGCUGGAUCCGCGCUUCAUUAGAUAGUUGGUAAGUUAACGGCCUACCAAGGCAACGAUGCAUAGCCGACCUGAGAGGGUGAUCGGCCACCUUGGAAGUGAGACACGGUCAAGACUCCUACGGGAGGGAGCAGUAGGGAAUGUUCCGCAAUGGGCGAAAGCCUGACGGAGCAACGCGGAGUGAGUGAUGAAGGUCUUCGGAUCGUAAAACUCUGUUAUUAGGGAAGAACAUAUGUGUACGUAACUGUGCACAUCUUGACGGUAACUAAUCAGAAAGCAACGGCUAACUACGUG
rnacentral:rRNA from 1 species